AACUUGUUUUUUACCUUUGUUAUUUAUUUAAAUUGUCUGAAACAAAAGUAUUUGUAGUAAUAUACAAAAACAACUUUUGGCAACGGAUCUCUUGGUUCUCGCAACGAUGAAGAACGCAGCGAAAUGCGAUAAGUAGUGUGAAUUGCAGAAUUCAGUGAAUCAUCAAAU
rnacentral:rRNA from 1 species